CAGUAGCCGCGGUAAUACAGAGGGUGCGAGCGUUAAUCGGAUUUACUGGGCGUAAAGCGUGUGUAGGUUGUUGUUCAAGUCAGUUGUGAAAUCCCUGGGCUCAACCUGGGAACUGCUUCUGAGACUGAACGACUAGAGUACGGUAGAGGGUGGUGGAAUUUCCGGUGUAGCGGUGAAAUGCGUAGAUAUCGGAAGGAACAUCAAUGGCGAAGGCAGCCACCUGGGCCUGUACUGACACUGAGACACGAAAGCGUGGGGAUCAAACAGGAUUAGAGACCCCUGUAGUCCUGUCUCUUAUACA
rnacentral:rRNA from 1 species